GUCAGUGGAACAUUCAGAAACUAAGUUAUUAAACAUUAAAGCUCAGUGAAAGUCUUUAAAUAGUUUGUUACUUUGGCUCCAUCUGGUGGUGGAAUGAAUAAUGACAGGAUGUUAGACAGCAGUGCAGACCUGUGUGAUGUGCAGCUGGUUGUAAUGAAUGAGCAUGUUGUUGUGUUUGUGUGAAGGUGUUUCUCUGCUAUGGAUCAGUGUGAGGACAGAGAGGAGGGAGUCCCUCCCUCUAAAAGCUCUCUGUGUGGGGAACAUGACAGCCAGACCAAAGCUCAGAGGAUGCAGCAGCAGAGAGCAGACUCUCCUGAACCCAGCUGUGUGUCCAUGAAGAGUGACUGGUCUAUGGGUCGUCCUAUUAAGUUUAAAGAUGGACAACCUGCUGAUGGAAGGAUGCAGCAGCAGAGAGCCAGCUGUUUGUCUAUGAAGAGUGACGGGUCUAUGGAUCGUCCUAUUAAGUUUAAAGAUGGGCAACAUGCUGAUAGAAGGAUGCAGCAGCAGAAAACAGACUCUCCUGCACCCAGCUUUGUGUCCAUGAAGAGUGACCAGUCUAUGGGUGGUCUUGUUAAGUUUACAGAUGGACAACCUGCUGAUGGAAUAGUUCAGCAGCAGAGCUCAGAGGUUCCCAGUGAUCAGUCUGCACAGCAGCAUCUAACACAGCUGGACUCCAUAUUUAUGCUGCUGGAGGAGAACAUCGUCACUUUUGUGAAGAACGAGCUGAAGACAGUCCAGAGGGGUCUGAGUCCAGAUGACCCAGAAUGCUUAGAGAGUCAGGAUGAGGAGGUGUUGGACGGUGAGGAAGAAGAGCAGAGGAGGAGCAGCAGAGAGGCAUUUCUGAAGAUCACAGUGCACUUCCUGAGGAGAAUGAAGCAGGAGGAGCUGGCUGACUGUCUGCAGAGCAGAAAUCCUGCUGCAAAGUGUCGAUAUAAACUCAAGUCUAACCUGCAGAAAAAGUUCCAGUGUCUGUUUGAGGGGAUCGCUAAAGCAGGAAACCCAACCCUUCUGAAUCAGAUCUACACACCGCUCUACAUCACAGAGGGAGGGACUGCAGAGGUCAAUGAUGAACAUGAGAUCAGACAGAUUGAAACAGCAUCCAGGAAACCAGACAAACCAGAAACAACAAUCAGACAAGAAGACAUCUUUAAAGCCUUACCUGGAAGAGAUGAACCAAUCAGAACAGUGAUGACAAAGGGAGUGGCUGGCAUUGGGAAAACAGUCUUAACACAGAAGUUCACUCUGGACUGGGCUGAAGACAAAGCCAACCAGGACAUACACUUCACAUUUCCAUUCACUUUCAGAGAGCUGAAUGUGCUGAAAGAGAAAAGGUACAGCUUGGUGAAACUCAUUCAUCACUUCUUUACUGAAACCAAAGAAGCAGGAAUCUGCAGGUUUGAAGAGUUCCAGGUUGUGUUCAUAUUUGACGGUCUGGAUGAGUGUCGACUUCCUCUGGACUUCCACAACAAUGAGAUCCUGACUGAUGUUACAGAGUCCACCUCAGUGGAUGUGCUGCUGACAAACCUCAUCAGGGGGAAACUGCUGCCCUCUGCUCGCCUCUGGAUAACCACACGACCUGCAGCAGCCAAUCAGAUCCCUCCCGAGUGCGUCGGCAUGGUGACAGAGGUCAGAGGGUUCACUGACCCACAGAAGGAGGAGUACUUCAGCAAGAAGUUCAAAGAUGAGGAUAAGGCCAACACCAUCAUCUCCCACAUCAAGACAUCACGAAGCCUCCACAUCAUGUGUCACAUCCCAGUCUUCUGCUGGAUCACUGCUACAGUUCUGGAGGAUGUGUUGAAAAGCAGACAGGGAGGAGAGCUGCCCAAGUCCUUGACUGAGAUGUACAUCCACUUCCUGGUGGUUCAGUCCAAACUGAAGAAUGUCAAGUAUGAUGGAGGAGCUGAGACAGAUCCACACUGGAGUCCAGAGAGCAGGAAGAUGAUGGAGUCUCUGGGAAAACUGGCUUUUGAGCAGCUGCAGAAAGGCAACUUGAUCUUCUAUGAAUCCGACCUGACAGACUGUGGCAUCAAUAUCAGAGCAGCCUCAGUGUACUCAGGAGUGUUCACACAGGUCUUUAAAGAGGAGAGAGGGCUGUACCAGGACAAAGUGUUCUGCUUCGUCCAUCUGAGCGUUCAGGAGUUUCUGGCUGCUCUUCAUGUCCGUCUGACAUUCAUCAAGUCUGGAGUCAAUCUGCUGGCAGAAGAACAAACAACAUCCAGGAGGUCUAAAAUCUUUAAAGACAAACAUGAAGCAACGCGUUUCUACCAGAGUGCUGUGGACAAGGCCUUAAAGAGUCCAUAUGGAUGCCUGGACUUGUUCCUCCGCUUCCUCCUUGGUCUUUCACUGCAGACCAAUCAGACUCUCCUACAAGGUCUGCUGACACAGACAGGAAGUAGCACACAGACUAAUCAGGAAACAGUUGUGUACAUCAAGACGAAGCUCAGUGAGAAUCUGUCUGCAGAGAGAAGCAUCAAUCUGUUCCACUGUCUGAAUGAACUGAAUGAUCGUUCUCUAGUGGAGGAGAUCCAACAGUACCUGAGAUCAGGAAGUCUCUCCACAGAGGAACUGUCUCCUGCUCAGUGGUCAGCUCUGGUCUUCAUCUUACUGUCAUCAGAAAAAAAUCUGGACGUGUUUGACCUGAAGAAAUACUCUGCUUCAGAGGAGGCUCUUCUGAGGCUGCUGCCAGUGGUCAAAGCCUCCAACAAAGCUCUGAUGAGUGACUGUAACCUCUCAGAGGGAAGCUGUGCAGCUUUGUCCUCUGUUCUCAGGUCCCAGUCCUCUAGUCUGAGAGAGCUGGACCUGAGUAACAACAACCUGCAGGAUUCAGGAGUGAAGCAGCUUUCUGCUGGACUGAAGAGUCCGCACUGUGGACUGGAAACUCUCAGACUGAGUGACUGUAACCUCUCAGAGAGAAGAUGUGCAGCUCUGUCCUCAGUUAUCAGCUCCCAGUCCCCUAGUCUGAGAGAUCUGGACCUGAGUAACAACAACCUGCAGGAUUCAGGAGUAAAGCAGCUUUCUGCUGGACUGAAGAGUCCACACUGUACACUGGAAACUCUCAGAGUGAGUCACUGUAACCUCUCAGAGAGAAGCUGUGCAGCUCUGUCCUCAGUUCUCAGCUCCCAGUCCUCUACUCUGAGAGAUCUGGACCUGAGUAACAACGACCUGAAGGAUUCAGGAGUGAAGCAGCUUUCUGCUGGACUUGAAAGUCCACCCUGCGGACUGAAAACCCUCCGACUGAGUGGCUGUAACCUCUCAGUGAGAAGCUGUGCAGCUCUGUCCUCAGUUCUCAGCUCCCAGUCCUCUAGUCUGACAGAUCUGGACCUGAGUAACAACGACCUGCAGGAUUCAGGAGUGAAGCAGCUUUCUGCUGGACUUGAGAGUCUACACUGUGGACUCGAAAGUCUCAGUCUGUCAGGAUGUCUGAUCACAGAGGAAGGCUGUGCUUCUCUGGCCUCAGCUCUGCGCUCCAACCCCUCCCAUCUGAGAGAGCUGGACCUAAGAUACAAUCAUCCAGGAGACUCAGGAGAGAAGCUACUGUCUGCUGGCACUCUCAGGAUGGACCAUGGUGGACUGCAGAGAAUGAAACCUGGUCUGAGGAAGUAUGUCUGUGAACUGGAACUGGAUCCAAACACAAUGAACAGAGAACUCAAACUGUCUGACAACAACAGGGAGGUGACAUUUGUGAAGGAGGUUCAGUCAUAUCCUGAUCAUCCAGACAGAUUUGACUCCUGUCCUCAGCUGCUGUAUAGAAAUGAUCUGACUGGUCGCUGUUACUGGGAGGUCGAGUGGAGAGGAAGAGUUUCUAUAUCAGUGAGUUACAGAAAAAUCAGCAGGAAAGGAGAUAGUUAUGACUGUUGGUUUGGAGGGAAUGAUCAGUCCUGGAGUCUGGACUGCUCUGCUGGUCGUUACUCUGUCUAUCACAAUGAGAAAAGAACACCCAUCUCUUCCUCCUCCUCCUCCUCCUCCUCCUCCUCUUCCUCCUCCUCCUCCUCUGUCUCUAACAGAGUAGCAGUGUAUGUGGACUGUCCUGCUGGCACUCUGUCCUUCUACAGAGUCUCCUCUGACACACUGAUACACCUCCACACCUUCAACACCACAUUCACUGAACCUCUGUAUGCUGGGUUUGGAGUCUGGUUUGGUUCCUCAGUCUCUCUGUGUCCUCUGUAGGAGGGAGAGUCUCUCUGUUUCCUCUGUAGGAGGGAGAGUCUCUCUGUGUCCUCUGUAGGAGGGAGAGUCUCUUUGUUGUCUCUGUAGGAGGGAGAGUCUCUCUGGGUCUCUGUAGGAGGGAGAGUCUCUCUGUGUCUCUGUAGGAGGGAGAGUCUCUCUGUGUCCUUUGUAGGAGGGAGAGUCUCUCUCUGUGUCUCUGUAGGAGGGAGAGUCUCUCUGUGUCCUCUGUAGGAGGGAGAGUCUCUCCUGUGGACAGAAACACUGCUGACUGAAGAUCAGCUGCUGAAAUCAAACAUCACACACACUCUGCACUGUGAAGCAGAUCUGUCUCAGACUCAAACACUCAGUUAUUUGUCCGUCUUCAUGAUUCAUUGAUUAGUCUCAGUUGACUCUGCUGUUGUUACUGUCAGGAUCCAAUGAGCAGCAUGCAGCUCUAUUCAUGUUUCAAUCUAAUAACAUCUGUCCAGCUGUGGAAGUCCACAGUGUUUUUGUGCCUCUCACAUGUAUUUUAUCUGAUCAUCAUCAAUAAAAACUAUUUAUGAAAUUAUUGUUGAAAGCAUCCUCACUUUACUGACACAAUGGAUAAUAUAACAAGCUUUUAAAAUACAACACAUUGUUAAAGAUGAAACCAAAAAGCAGUGUGUAGUCUGCUCACAUUUCAGAUGUCUAUGAG